GGUUCAAAUUCCACUCACCCACUGUGUAACUUGGAGUAGUUUGCUUAACCUCCCUUUUCAACACAGAUGGACUCAUAGCACCUAUUGAUCUAAGCAAUGGUGGUAAUGGAUGACUGACAUUCUGUAAGACACAGCACACAUCUAGGGAAGAGGACUGUGUAGAACCUUCCCCAUCCUCAUGGGCUACUCAAGGUGGAACAGGAUGAGAAAGACUUUUCUAGUAGAAUCAAGAUGAUCAAAGAAACUCGGUGAACCUGAAAUUGGAUCAAAACAAAUUAUCGCUCAGAAUAAUAGAGAAAACUUGGAAACUGCAAGUGGAGCAUCAGCAGACCUUGGAAUCGAUGCAGGUUGACAGCAGACUCAACUCUGGAAUGUAUGCUUUGGAGAUGGGUUUAAAGACUUGGACUCUGUCUUCGAUCCCGAAGCAACCCUGCAGCUUGAUUACAGGCCCUCUUAGCCUCAAAUCCGCAUUGGUGCUGUAGGACGCAAGACCCACGCAGGUUCCACAGCAGUCCUGCUGAGAUGUGAGGACGUUACAGUCAUCAGCAAGCCAAGUAAAAGAUCUGCUUUGUACCCUGGAGCAAACCCCAAUCCCCUUGCUUUAAAUCCUGGAGACAGUCUAGUUCAACCAUGAACCACCCAUAAAGGAAGAAAUCCACCCUGCAACUCCCACACAGAAAGACACAGAAGGCUCCCUCCCGGGCCUCAGAUUAGGCACAAACCACACCCAAACACCUGUUUCACUGAGAUUCUUUCUUAAGCAGGGGAGAAAAGUUAAAAGUGGCUGCUUUCAGAACCCAUGUCUGCUGGACCUCUCAUGAGGCCCACCAAACGGAGACGUCAUCCAGCAGCCAUGAGACUGGUUCUGAGAACAUCUGACUGGGAUCUCAAGACAAGCCCACCAGCUCAGAGAUUUAAGAGAAGACCUCACAAGGCUAAAAACACUUUCUAAGGAAUGGCAGAAGUGUUUGUUCCUCCAAACACAUGGAUCAAUGCAAGGAUGUGCUAAAUCAAAAGGAAUCUGGCAAACUGAACACUGAUGAGGAAAGAGAGGGUCCAAGUGAGGAGU
rnacentral:lncRNA from 1 species